rnacentral:tRNA from 1 species
UGGGGCGCAAUGGCUAGCGCGCUUCGUUCUGGACGAAGAGGCCGAUGGUUCUAGUCCACUCACCCCGACCA